rnacentral:lncRNA from 9 species
GCCGCUCUGGGCCGCAGCCCGGGCCCUGACUGCAUUUCCGCCGGCGCCCGAGCGAUGAAGGGCGGGUCCUGCAUCCGAGGCAUCCCCGAUCCAUCCAGCAUCUUCUCGCGCAGUCUUCUUCGACCCGCUGCCACAGUCCCGGCGCCCCAGGCCCUGCGCAGAUGAAGACCCUCCCUCGGACGGCUUUGCGGGCCCUGCCUCAGCCGUCGCCCCCUUCUCUCCUGCAGGACCCGGACCCGCGCUGCAGGGGCUGAGUGCCCCCUGGGUCGGCGUCUGAGUCUUGCCUCCCCGUAGGCUCAGUACCUGGCACGUGUCCAAGGCUCAGCAGCUGUACCACAACCACCCAACAGGAGAGAAGGAAAGGAGAGGUGCACCCCGGGGAUGUGGUGAGGCCAUCCCGUCAUGGGGAAUCAGAAAAGGACUGCGUCUUAGCCAGCCAGCUGGGGGAAGAGGAGGCAGCACCGGGCAGAGGGGCCCUUGAGAGAUGUCACCAUCCUGUUAAGAAAGGGCUGGACCACAGCGCUGCAGAGAUGAGUCCACGGUGUGCAGAGGCCGUCGUGGAAGUUGUCGUGUCAGCAGCGCUGUAGACCGCAGUGUCCUUGAGUGUUCAUUCUGACUCUUCUCUGGGAGCAUUGAGAUUCCUUUUUGAGCCAAGAUUGGUGUGGAAAAAAACACUGCAGCUCAUCUCUGACUAAUUGGGGACGCUUUCAUGGAUGUCACCUUAAAGAAAGAUGAGGGGUGCUGCUUUGGAAGAAGCCUCGGGGGUCAGAACCACUCGCCCUCUCAAGGUGAGGACCUGGGUCCCAGCUCCCCCGGAGGGUCCUCCUCAUGGUAUUUAGGGGCUGACCGCGGACACUGGCGUAGCAGCGUGAAGCAGGAUGUUGUCGCAUGACCAUCGCCAAACCUUUCUCUUCUGUUGCCUCAGCACAGCGUGGAAGGACUCUGCCCUCUGUGUGAACAGGGCAGAGGGGAAGUUCUGGGGCUCCAGGGACUUGGGGUUCAGAGCUGGAGACCUUCUACUGGCUCCCAGCAGGUGCCUCAGAACACUGCUGACCAGGAAGACUGUGUCUUCCCAUCUGGACCAGGUCAUCCCGUGGCUUCUGUGUCUCCCAUUUGCUCCUAGUAUAACUUUUUAGAACCAGGAGUUCCUGUUGGAGUCUUGUGUGCCGUGCAUCUUAUCUUCUCACCCACUUAAAUAAAUCUCGAAACUGCC